AUCCAUGGUGUAGCAAUACACCGGAAGAUUUAGUGGCGAACGGGUGAGGAUCACGUGAGAAACGUGCCCCAGACUCUGGGAUAACAAUUGGAAACGAUUGCUAAUACCGGAUGACGUCGGAGAAUCGCAUGAUUCACUGACGAAAGAUAUUUCGGUUUGGGAGCGUCUCGCGGCCUAUCAGCUUGUUGGUGGGGUAAUGGCCUACCAAGGCAACGACGGGUAGCUGGUCUGAGAGGAUGAUCAGCCACACUGGGACUGAGACACGGCCCAGACUCCUACGGGAGGCAGCAGUGGGGAAUCUUGCGCAAUGGGCGAAAGCCUGACGCAGCAACGCCGCGUGCGGGAUGAAGGCCUUCGGGCUGUAAACCGCUUUCAGCAGGAACGAAAAUGACGGUACCUGCAGAAGAAGGAGCGGCCAACUACGUGCCAGCAGCCGCGGUGACACGUAGGCUCCAAGCGUUGUCCGGAUUUAUUGGGCGUAAAGAGCUCGUAGGCGGUUGAGUAAGUCGGGUGUGAAAACUCUGGGCUUAACCCGGAGACGCCAUCCGAUACUGCUCUGACUAGAGUUCAGGAGGGGAGUGGGGAAUUCCUAGUGUAGCGGUGAAAUGCGCAGAUAUUAGGAGGAACACCGGUGGCGAAGGCGCCACUCUGGACUGAAACUGACGCUGAGGAGCGAAAGCAUGGGUAGCAAACAGGAUUAGAUACCCUGGUAGUCCAUGCCGUAAACGGUGGGCACUAGGUGUGGGUUCCAACUAACGGGAUCCGCGCCGUCGCUAACGCAUUAAGUGCCCCGCCUGGGGA
rnacentral:rRNA from 1 species